rnacentral:tRNA from 1 species
GAGGUUGUGGCUCAGAGGUAGAGUGCUCACCUAACAUGUGUGAGGCACUGGGUUCAAUCCUCAGCACCACG